CCUACGGGUGGCAGCAGUGAGGAAUAUUGGUCAAUGGGCGAAAGUCUGAACCAGCCAAGUAGCGUGAAGGAUGACUGCCCUAUGGGUUGUAAACUUCUUUUGUAUGGGAGUAACGUGUUCCACGUGUAGGAUUUUGUAUGUACCAUAUGAGUAAAGAUCGGCUAACUCCGUGCCAGCCGCCGGGGUAAUACGGAGGAUCGGGAGGUUUGCCGGAUUUGUUGGGUUUAAAGGGAUCGUAGGGGGAUUGUUAAGUCAUUUGUGAAAGUCUGCGGCUCAACCGUAAAAUUGCAGUUGAAACUGGCAGUCUUGAGUACAGUAGAGGUGGGCGGAAUGCGUGGUGUAGCGGUGAAAUGCUUAGAUAUCACGAAGAACUCCGAUUGCGAAGGCAGCUCACUGGACUGCAACUGACACUGAGGCUCGAAAGUGUGGGUAUCAAACAGGAUUAGAUACCCCAGUAGUC
rnacentral:rRNA from 1 species